rnacentral:rRNA from 1 species
AAUAUUGCACACUGGGCGAAAGCAUGAUGCAGCAACGCCGCGUGAGUGAUGAAGGCCUUCCGGCCGGAGAGCUCUUUGAUCCGGGAUGAUAGUGACAGUGCCUGAGAAACAAGCCACGGCGAACUACGUGCCAGCAGCCGCGGUAAUACGUCGGUGGCGAGCGUUGUCCGGAAUUACUGGGCGUAAAGGAUGCGUAGGUGGAUACUUAAGUGGGAUGUGAAAUCCCCGGGCUCAACCCGGGAACUGCAUUGCAAACUGGGUAUCUAGAGUGCAGGAGAGGAAAGCGGAAUUCCUAGUGUAGCGGUGAAAUGCGUAGAUAUUAGGAGGAACACCAGGGGCGAAGGCGGCUUUCUGGACUGUAACUGACACUGAGGCAUGAAAGCGUGGGUAGCAAACAGG